AUACGGAGGGGGUUAGCGUUGUUCGGAAUUACUGGGCGUAAAGCGUACGUAGGCGGACUGGAAAGUUGGGGGUGAAAUCCCGGGGCUCAACCCCGGAACUGCCUCCAAAACUUCCAAUCUAGAGAUCGAGAGAGGUGAGUGGAAUUCCAAGUGUAGAGGUGAAAUUCGUAGAUAUUUGAAGGAACACCAGUGGCGAAGGCGGCUCACUGGCUAGAUACUGACGCUGAGGUACGAAAGCGUGGGGAGCAAACAGGAUUAGAAACCCUAGUAGUCC
rnacentral:rRNA from 1 species